UACGUAGGGUACAAGCGUUGUCCGGAUUAUUGGGCGUAAAGAGCUCGUAGGCGGUUGUCGCGUCUGCCGUGGAAGUCCGGGACUCAACUCCGGUAUCUGCGGUGGUACGGGCAGACUAGAGUGAUGUAGGGGAGACUGGAAUUCCUGGUGUAGCGGUGAAAUGCGCAGAUAUCAGGAGGAACACCGAUGGCAAGGGCAGGUCUCGUGGGCAUUAACUGACGCUGAGGAGCGAAAGCAUGGGGAGCGAACAGG
rnacentral:rRNA from 1 species